CCGCCCGCUGAAUGCAUUUUUUACAUUAAUUUCUCUGCGGAAGACGAAAGAACUUUUAAUUAACAUUGCAUUAGGUUAGAUUACACUUGCGGUAUGAUGUCCCUGAAAUAGACCCGAAUUUAUUGCGAUCUAAAGUCAUAUAGAACGCCAACGCCUUUCGUGACACUCAACGAUUUUGAAGCUUUCUUUAGUACUUUUGACUGCGAAGCUCCAAGACGCCAUACGAUGUGAGUUUUUUGCAUUGCUGGCUAUCUGAGCAGCUCCUCCUGGUAAAUAUCCUGGAAGCUUUAGCGGUUGAAUCAGGUGACGCCAUUUUGGAUCCAGCGGUGUAGGUGUUAUACGUUCUCCUGGCAUGUCCAAACUUCUUGCGCAUGUGCCCUGUUUGAACGUGGCUUGAAUUAUUAUCCCCUCUCCCUGCAGCUGCAGUGCUCACCACUGCGGUGUCGGUUGGUGAUAUAAAAUGUCAGCUACCACCACUAGGAUUUAUGUGUGACCAUUGAUUGAUAGCUUCAUCCAGUUAAUCCUCCAGGGUUUCUACGCAGGGACUUUGUGAACAGUAACACAUCCGUUUUGUCACCAUUUACCUCUAAGCCCAUCGAGAUUUCUAUUGCUUUACUACUGGCAUUUAAGAACCUUUGGAAUACCUUUGCAGAAUAAGUGAGGUUAUACUAAAUGGUUUGUUUUAAUUUACUUUAUUUGCUUGUAUAAAUGGUUUCAAGAGCACAGGGCUGUAUUUUGACAACUGUCAAGCUUAAUUGUUAAACCAAACAUGUUUUGUUUUAGAUAAAAGUUAGGUAUUUUAUUGUAAGUAAUUGAAAGUGUUAUUGAAAGUGUAGCCGUAGACCUGAAUGAGUCUUUUUCUCAAUAGCUUGGGCGUAAUUUGCACUUGGACUUGUAUCUACAUCCGCAUCAAAUCCAGCUUAAACAACAACAAAAUCCACCUCAUCACUCACAACGCCCCAAAUACGUCGAUUGGGUGCUUGAACAAUAAGCAGUGGACCGCGAAAAAACUCGAGAGAUAUGUAAAUAAGCUCAAUUGCUCAGAGAAUCCUCAAAUAAUUGAAGAGCUACGAUUAAAUUGAAAAAACUUACUGUCUGCUGCACUCCUUGUUUCUGUGGAGUGAUUGAACCUUACUUACUUACUGUAUGGCAACCCAACUUUAUUUGAAGACACUACUUUGACAAUAAAAGGUUCCAACAACCAUGCCAUCGAGAUCACAUUUAUGCGGAUAAACCUUUAAAUUCGUGAGCACUUGAAUGCCAACAUUCGACCAGUCAUGGCUGUGAUACCGCUCAAUAUGUGCCAAAAAGUCGUCGAAAAUUAUCUCAAACAGAUCGAAGUUUGCGGAAAUUCGCGAGGCGUUCA